rnacentral:rRNA from 1 species
GACGAACGCUGGCGGCGUGCUUAACACAUGCAAGUCGAACGGAAAGGCCCUGCUUUUGUGGGGUGCUCGAGUGGCGAACGGGUGAGUAACACGUGAGUAACCUGCCUUUGACUUUGGGAUAACUUCAGGAAACUGGGGCUAAUACCGGAUAGGAGCUCCUGCUGCAUGGUGGGGGUUGGAAAGUUUCGGCGGUUGGGGACGGACUCGCGGCUUAUCAGCUUGUUGGUGGGGUAGUGGCUUACCAAGGCUUUGACGGGUAGCCGGCCUGAGAGGGUGACCGGCCACAUUGGGACUGAGAUACGGCCCAGACUCCUACGGGAGGCAGCAGUGGGGAAUAUUGCACAAUGGGCGGAAGCCUGAUGCAGCAACGCCGCGUGCGGGAUGACGGCCUUCGGGUUGUAAACCGCUUUCGCCUGUGACGAAGCGUGAGUGACGGUAAUGGGUAAAGAAGCACCGGCUAACUACGUG